rnacentral:rRNA from 1 species
UACGAAGGGUGCAAGCGUUACUCGGAAUUACUGGGCGUAAGCGUGCGUAGGCGGUUUGUUAAGUCUGUCGUGAAAGCCCUGGGCUCAACCUGGGAAUUGCGAUGGAUACUGGCAAGCUAGAGUACGGUAGAGGAUGGUGGAAUUCCCGGUGUAGCGGUGAAAUGCGUAGAGAUCGGGAGGAACACCCGUGGCGAAGGCGGCCAUCUGGACCAGUACUGACGCUGAGGCACGAAAGCGUGGGGAGCAAACAGG